rnacentral:lncRNA from 10 species
CUUCUCCAAGGCCCGUUUGUGUACUUCCUUAUAAAAUCUGUUUUAGAAAAGAACCCUUCUAAGUCACCACUUGUAUUUCCUCUUUAAGUUCUUUCAUAGGCACAAAAAUGUUUCUGGUUGCUCAAGACAGAAAGAGGGCUCCAUACUCCAGAGUUUAUAAACUCUUGACCUCAUCCAAGUCUCACAACCACUUCAUGAGUUAGAUGGAGUAGACAAGUACCCGUUCCUUUUCAGCUGUGUUCUAAAUAUGGCCCUGGGGCUUCUCUGGUUUCACUUAGGGACCCAGCAGUGCCAGUGCACACUUAAUACUCACUGUGCUAAGCCAAGUUGCUCUCUACACAGUUGUAGCAGGAAGAGGCCACACACCUAUAAGUAGGGCCUUGUAAAGGGAAAUGCUACAUGCCUUUCACAUUUUAAAACUUCUCCCUUUCAUGAUGGACAAUAGAGUCAAUCAUUUAAAAUUUACAGUUUCAGGCCUUAGAGCUUAAAUGGACACAAAUAUUAAAAGUCCUGUCUGAAAGUCAAAGAACGCCCUACAAUUAUGUUCUUCCCAAAGAUUCAAGAAACAUUCAUCUGUGAUGUUCUAAGAUGUGGAACUGAAGUAGAAGAUAAACCACAAAGUCUGAGGUGGCUUUGUA